rnacentral:tRNA from 1 species
GUUAGGAUGGCCGAGCGGUCUAUGGCGCUGCGUUCAGGUCGCAGUCUCCUCUGGAGGCGUGGGUUCGAAUCCCACUUCUAACA